rnacentral:tRNA from 1 species
GGAUUAAUAGCCAAGUCUGGUUUAAGGCGUUGUAUUUGAACUACAAUAAUGUUUAAAAGCAUUCAGGGGUUCGAAUCCCUUUUAAUCCG